CUACUUAUGCCGGCGACCGGCGGACGGGGCGUAACGCGUAUGUAACCUACCUUUGACAGGGGGAUAACAUCGAGAAAUUGGUACUAAUACCCCAUAACAUCACCGGAGGCAUCUUCGGUGGUUGAAAACUCAGGUGGUCAGAGACGGACAUGCGUUGUAUUAGCUAGUUGGUGAGGUAACGGCUCACCAAGGCGACGAUACAUAGGGGGACUGAGAGGUUAACCCCCCACAUUGGGACUGAGACACGGCCCAGACUCCUACGGAAGGCAGCAG
rnacentral:rRNA from 1 species